AGAAAGAUAAGCUAAAUAACAAGCUAAUGGGCUCAUACCUCAUCAACGGAAUAUAAUAAUCCUUUUUCUG
rnacentral:tRNA from 1 species